rnacentral:rRNA from 1 species
AACAAAACGAACGCUGGCGGCAGGCCUAACACAUGCAAGUCGAACGCCCUAGCAAUAGGGAGCGGCAGACGGGUGAGUAACACGUGGGAACCUUCCCAAUAGUACGGAAUAGCCCAGGGAAACUUGGAGUAAUACCGUAUACGCCCGAAAGGGGAAAGAUUUAUCGCUAUUGGAUGGGCCCGCGUUGGAUUAGCUAGUUGGUGAGGUAACGGCUCACCAAGGCGACGAUCCAUAGCUGGUCUGAGAGGACGACCAGCCACACUGGGACUGAGNACACGGCCCAGACUCCUACGGGGAGGCAGCAGUGGGGAAUAUUGGACAAUGGGCGCAAGCCUGAUCCAGCCAUGCCGCGUGAGUGAUGAAGGCCUUAGGGUUGUAAAGCUCUUUUGUCGGGGACGAUAAUGACGGUACCCGAAGAAUAAGUCCCGGCUAACUUCGUGCCAGCAGCCGCGGUAAUACGAAGGGGGACUGGCGUUGUUCGGAAUCACUGGGCGUAAAGCGCACG